UCUUAAAAUCCCGUAUAAAUGUCUUCAAAUAAUUGUACUAUUUUCCUCCUUCUUUUUUUUGAACAAUUCUCUUCCUCCUCUUUAUUAUUGGUCUUCUCUGUUUUUUUUUGGUACAAAUUAUUGGUCUUCUCUAAAUAAAUAAAAAAUUAAUACAGAAAAUAAUCUUAACCUAAUCAAAUAAAUUUAAUUCACUCUAAGAAAAGAAUAUCAUUGAUCCCGUC
rnacentral:lncRNA from 1 species